GAUGAACGCUGGCGGCGUGCCUAAUACAUGCAAGUCGAGCGAACAGACGAGGAGCUUGCUCCUCUGACGUUAGCGGCGGACGGGUGAGUAACACGUGGAUAACCUACCUAUAAGACUGGGAUAACUUCGGGAAACCGGAGCUAAUACCGGAUAAUAUAUUGAACCGCAUGGUUCAAUAGUGAAAGACGGUUUUGCUGUCACUUAUAGAUGGAUCCGCGCCGCAUUAGCUAGUUGGUAAGGUAACGGCUUACCAAGGCGACGAUGCGUAGCCGACCUGAGAGGGGGAUCGGCCACACUGGAACUGAGACACGGUCCAGACUCCUACGGGAGGCAGCAGUAGGGAAUCUUCCGCAAUGGGCGAAAGCUUGACGGAGCAACGCCGCGUGAGUGAUGAAGGUCUUCGGAUCGUAAAACUCUGUUAUUAGGGAAGAACAAAUGUGUAAGUAACUAUGCACGUCUUGACGGUACCUAAGCAGAAAGCCACGGCUAACUACGU
rnacentral:rRNA from 1 species